rnacentral:misc_RNA from 1 species
AAAGCCGUGAGCUUAUGUAUGUGUUCAAUAAAGUUGGUGACAUUGACCCAUUCUGGCAACCUUUUGAAUCAAUGUCAUUUCUCGAAGGCCUCUAGUGCUUUAUGAGAAAAAGUUGGCAAUUUAAUAAUGAAAAUUAAAUUUCACUAACCGUUCCUGAACUCAGAUGCUAAUUCAUCUCUAAAUAUCAAUUUGUAACAAAAAAAUGCCGGCUUCAAUUUGGUGAACAUGAAAUCCAUUUUACCUUAUUCCAGCCAAAACUCAGGUAAUCAGUUGAUGUGACAUCCCUAAUCAGCUCCAGCACCAUUAAAAAAAAAUUAAAAUUUAAGGUGUUGGCUUACACGUAAUUUUUCUCCCCUUUCAAUUUUUUUGCUUAACUUAGAAUUAUCUUUUUUAUCCACUUAAAUUUUCUCUCCCCUCUACAUGUGCUCUCUCUCCCUUCUCCUUUUUUUGUCUCCUUCCUUUCCACCACCUAGAACCUACCAUGGGCAUUUCUAUUGAUAUAAAGUUCCAGAUUAAUUAAACGCAACAUUCAGCAACUCCAAAUAUGGCUCACUUUUUGAGAAAAGCCCUCAUAUCUGUUAAUCUUACCAACAAUUCCAUCAUUAUUCAUAAACCCAACAACUCAAAAUUCAACUUAAGCCAAAUUUCAGAGCUUCCCAUCAUUGAUUAACAAGCUUAUCAAAGCCACAAUCCAAAUGCCAAAACACCCAUCAUUGAAGAUAUUAGGGAGGAAAAAAAAUUUCAAGUCCCAUCAACACAGAAAACAGUAGUAGUAAAUAUCACUGAAAAAGAAAAGAAAAGAAAAAGUUAAUUACAUCACUUUAUGACAUCA